GACGAACGCUGGCGGCGUGCUUAACACAUGCAAGUCGAGCGGUAAGGCCCUUUCGGGGGUACACGAGCGGCGAACGGGUGAGUAACACGUGGGUGACCUGCCCUUAGCUCUGGGAUAAGCCUGGGAAACUGGGUCUAAUACCGGAUAUGACUCCAUGACGCAUGUUGUGGGGUGGAAAGCCUUGUGCGGCUAGGGAUGGGCCCGCGGCCUAUCAGCUUGUUGGUGGGGUGAUGGCCUACCAAGGCGACGACGGGUAGCCGGCCUGAGAGGGCGACCGGCCACACUGGGACUGAGACACGGCCCAGACUCCUACGGGAGGCAGCAGUGGGGAAUCUUGCGCAAUGGGCGAAAAGCCUGACGCAGCGACGCCGCGUGAGGGAUGACGGCCU
rnacentral:rRNA from 1 species